GCACAUUUUCGACUUAAAUUUAACAUUUAUCUAAGCUACCAAUUACAUAUUCACAUGCUCGAGCCAUAGAUAAAAAGGUUAAAACGCUUAAGCAUCCUCAUAAAAUGAAUUCAACUAUAUUCCAGCAAUCUAACUGGUUCAAAUCUUCAACUAUUGCUUAGAAAAAAUCUGCAUUACAAAGAUUCAAGAGUUACCUGUAUUGCAGAAUAAUAAACACAACAAUGAAGAAUGGAAGCUCGGGAACAAAGCAGCAACAACAACAAACAAUAGUAACAGCAGCAAAACAAAUAACCAAUUCGUGUUGGAGCAACAUUUCAGCUUAAAGGAACGGUUCAGUUGCUAAUUUUUACUCUCAGAGUUGUGUUCUUUUGGGUGUAAAAAAAGAUCAGCAGGAGUAGUAGCAAAACAGCAACAAAGGCAAACACUUCAAUGUUAAAACAACUGCGAAAACCGACAAAGCGACUUGAGACUAGUAACUAAAUAAUCUCACAAAUUACCUAAGUGAUCGUUCUAUUUUCUCAAAGGUUCACUCCAAGAAAUCACCCCUAGUUCUGAAAUUUCAGCUUGCUAUAUAUACUAAGUUGCUCAUUAUUCUUUGAAGACGUGUUUUUUUUAGAGUGUAAAAUGAUAUUCAAAAGCUAUGUGUGUUAGAAUGUAAGAUGGAGUCCUCUUUCAAGUGAGGAAAGACCUCUUCCUUUAUAGGAAAGGAGAGAAGUUGAAUUAUUACAUUGAAUCUGUCCCAAGGACGGGUGUCCACCUAAAAUCUGCCACAACUAUUCAAAGGACAGAUUUUAUGGUAAUAAAUCUGCCUAAAAGAUAAUUUUUUCACCAACUAUGAAUAGUGUUAAGAGCAGUGUACUCCAAACAUCACUUUGAACAGUAAAAGCAACCAAACGAGUACCCUACACUCGAGUAUCUUCAGCUCUUAUCAUGACUAAAGGUUGAGCUAACAUACUCCACAUUCAAACUAACCAAAUUAUAGACUAGUACAACAGAAACAAGACUUAAAAGGUAACCGAACCAAGUAUUCGAACAAACUAGAUUGCAAUUAAUUUGACUUAUACAAACUAACACGGACUAACAACCAAAUUUCGCAAACUAUUACUUGAAAUAGAAACUAAACGAACAUUGUUAACUAUUACGAUUAAUAACAACUAAAUAUACAACUAACUAUAUAAAUAAUUGAACCAGUCUUUUGGUUUCUUCAUGAAAUUAACACAAAGAUUCAGCUAUUCGACCGGCCAGGUCUACAAACUGAAAAGUUCAGACUUAACAACUCGAUACAAAAUGGUCGACCAACUAGGUCAGAGCUAUUCGACUGACCAGGUCUACAAACUGAAAAAUUCAGGCUUAACAAUUCGAUACAAAAUGGUCGACGGACUAGUUCGAAGGAAUAAAAAUCAGAACUAACGAACAAAUAAACAAAAAGGUCGACCAGCUAGGUCGAAGGACUAAAUUCUCAAAUUUAAACAAAUCCAUACCAAAUAAUCAACCGGCUAGGUCGAAGAACAGAAAAUCAGAAUCAACAGGCGAUAACAAACUACUCGGCCGGCUAGGUCGAAGAACUGAAAUUCAUAUUAAUAAAUUCGAAAUAUAAUUAAAAUAAUAACCAAUUACAUAUAAAUAACAGCUACCUUAAUAGAAAUUAGACCUUUAAAACUAAUACUAAUUGCAAAAGCUAAAAAUCAGAGAAGAUAAAAAGGAGGUAAGAUUCAUACCAAUCGAGAGCAUUUGACAUUGUUCAAGUCACGAGAAGAUGUCGGGGAUAUCAACCAAUGACUAUCCGACCCCGAAACGCAAAUUUCCUCUUAGUAGACGCCAAAAAAAUUAAGUUUUGGUGUCAUACUAGAAGGAAACAUGAGUCUUUGGUUUGAAUAGUCCUGAUGAACGAGGCAGUGGUAGAGCGGUAGCGGCGGGGCUGGGAAAUUCGCCAGAUUUUGGAGGGGUUUUGAAGGUUUUGGGGUGGGGAAUGGAGAAGAGGAGAUUGAGAUGAAUAGGGGUGAAAUUUUGGUGGCUUUUGGACGUUGGUGUGCGGCAGCAGUGGCGGAGCAAGGCGGCGGUGCAACUAGGGUUUAGUUUUGUCAAUUUUUGGUGUGGAUUUGGGGAAUUUGGGUUACUGAUUUAGAAUGAGGGGAGCGAGAAGAAGGGGUGGUGUGAUUUUGGGGUUGUUUGGGGCUGGACCGCCCCCGGUGGCGAAUUCCGGCGGGCGGAGCAGGGGCGGUGACGGGUAAAG
rnacentral:lncRNA from 1 species